UUGCUCACAGAGCAUGUACCAAAACAUACUCUAGUCUUAACACUUUCUCCUCCCUUUUUUAGCAUGCAAACAGCAGCUGCUGUUUGGAAGGACAGCCUUAAGAAGCCAACAGGAGCAGAAGCAGCAACAUUGCCAAUGGUCCUAAUCCAGUAUGCAACAGUGUGUAAGGAAAAUACAAGGAAGCUGGUUAAAGCCUGCGGUCUGCUCUACUGGAUUCCCCACCGUGCAUGCAAAACCAGAUCUGUGUUCUGGCAGAGAUCUUAAGGAAAGACAAGGUGGAAGAAUGAGGCAUCUGUGUUUGCCAAAUGGAAAAUACAUUACCAUGGAGAUACUACAUUUGAAUGUCAAUACUGGCCAAAAGAACAGAGGGAAAGCCAACUCUGACCUAAUGAAAACUGCUGAAUAAUGUUUGGAAGGCAGAAUCUGCGUGUGUUAAUGC